rnacentral:rRNA from 1 species
GACGAACGCUGGCGGCGUGCUUAACACAUGCAAGUCGAACGGAAAGGCCCUGCUUGCAGGGUACUCGAGUGGCGAACGGGUGAGUAACACGUGUGUGAUCUGCCCUGCACUUCGGGAUAAGCCUGGGAAACUGGGCCUAAUACCGGAUAGGAGCCAUUUUUAGUGUGAUUGUUGGAAAGUUUUUUCGGUGUAGGAUGAGCUCGCGGCCUAUCAGCUUGGUGGUGGGGUAAUGGCCUACCAAGGCGGCGACGGGUAGCCGGCCUGAGAGGGUGGACGGCCACAUUGGGACUGGGAUACGGCCCAGACUCCUACGGGAGGCAGAAGUGGGGAAUAUUGCACAAUGGGCGCAAGCCUGAUGCAGCGCCGCCGCGUGGGGGAUGACGGCCUUCGGGUUGGAAACUUCUUUCGCUAGGGACGAAGCUUUUUGUGACGGUACCUAGAUAAGAAGCACCGGCUAACUCCGUG